GAUGAACGCUGGCGGCGUGCCUAACACAUGCAAGUCGAGCGAACAGACGCUGAGCUUGCUCCGUUGUCGUGAGCGGCGGGCGGGUGUGAAACACGUGUAUAACCCACCUAUCAGACUGGGAUCACCUCGGGAAACCGGCUCUUAUACCGUAGAAUAUACUGAACCGUAUGGGGCAUUGGUGAAAGACGGCUUUGCUGUCUCUUAUAGAUGGAUCCGCGCCGCAUUAGCUGGUUGGUGAGUUAACGGCUUUUCAAGGGUACGAUGCGUAGCCGAAUUGCCAGGGGGAUCGGCCACACGGGAGCUGGGACACGGUCAAGACUCCUAAGGGAGGCAGCAGUAGGGAACCUUCCGCAAUGGGCGAGAGCCUGACGGAGCAACGCGGCGUGAGUGAUGAAGGUCUUCGGAUCGUGAAGCUCUGUUAUUAGGGAUGAACAAAUGUGUAAGGAACUAUGCACGUCUUGACGGUACCUAAUCAGAAAGCAACGGCUAACUACGUG
rnacentral:rRNA from 1 species